rnacentral:rRNA from 1 species
GUGAGGAAUAUUGGACAAUGGAUGGAAAUCUGAUCCAGCCAUGCCGCGUGCAGGAAGACGGCCCUAUGGGUUGUAAACUGCUUUUAUACGGAGCAAUAAGGUCUAUGCAUAGAUUGAUGAGAGUACCGUAUGAAUAAGCAUCGGCUAACUCCGUGCCAGCAGCCGCGGUAAUACGGAGGAUGCGAGCGUUAUCCGGAUUUAUUGGGUUUAAAGGGUGCGUAGGCGGCUUUGUAAGUCAGCGGUGAAAUUUUGCAGCUUAACUGUAAAAGCGCCGUUGAUACUGUGAAGCUAGGAUUUGGUUGCUGUGGGCGGAAUGUGUGGUGUAGCGGUGAAAUGCAUAGAGAUCACACAGAAUAUCGAUUGCGAAGGCAGCUCACAAAGCCAAUAUUGACGCUGAGGCACGAAAGUGUGGGGAUCAAACAGGAUUAGAUACCCUAGUAGUCC